rnacentral:rRNA from 1 species
UACGGAGGGAGCUAGCGUUGUUCGGAAUUACUGGGCGUAAAGCGCACGUAGGCGGAUCUUUAAGUCAGGGGUGAAAGCCCAGAGCUCAACUCUGGAAUUGCCUUUGAUACUGGGGAUCUUGAGUAUGGUAGAGGUUGGUGGAAUUGCGAGUGUAGAGGUGAAAUUCGUAGAUAUUCGCAAGAACACCAGUGGCGAAGGCGGCCAACUGGACCAUAACUGACGCUGAGGUGCGAAAGCGUGGGGAGCAAACAGG